rnacentral:tRNA from 2 species
GGCAAGGUAGCUCAGCUGGUUAGAGCACCGCACUCAUAAUGCGGGGGUCGGCGGUUCGAGUCCGCCCCUUGCUACCA